UCCCCGAUAGUCUAGUGGUGAGGAUAUCUGCUUGUCAUUACAACUCAGUGAUGUUCGCAGGGGACCGGGGUUCAAUUCCCCGUCGAGGAG